UACGGAGGAUGCAAGCGUUAUCCGGAUUUAUUGGGUUUAAAGGGUGCGCAGGCGGAUUGGUAAGUCAGUGGUGAAAGCCCCCGGCUCAACUGGGGAAAUGCCAUUGAUACUGUUAAUCUAGAGUACAGUUGAAGUGGGCGGAAUGUAGCAUGUAGCGGUGAAAUGCUUAGAUAUGCUACAGAACACCGAUUGCGAAGGCAGCUCACUAAGCUGAAACUGACGCUCAGGCACGAAAGCGUGGGGAG
rnacentral:rRNA from 1 species